rnacentral:sRNA from 1 species
UGAAACAUUGUUGCAAUGGUGGUAUAUA